UGACCUGAAAACAGGACCAGUAACCCCAGAUCAACCGCCAGCCACACCCUGGGCACCAUCUCCCCCAGAAGUCCUUUGGUGCCCCAGGGCCAGCACCUGCUAAGGUUCUCCAGCCCCUCAGUGCUCCCUGGGGAAUAGCAGCUCAUCAGGGGUGCCGUCCAAUCCCCAAUGGGGUUUCCUGUGCGGCUCUGGAGGGCUCUGGUUCCCUCGGUCUCCAGAGAAACAUGUGAGGACAGCGAUGGUUUUGCAGUUUCUGGCGCCGCCCGCAACACAACUCCAG
ensembl:lncRNA novel transcript